rnacentral:rRNA from 1 species
AACUUUCAACAAUGGAUCUCUUGGUUCCGGCAUCGAUGAAGAACGCAGCGAAAUGCGAUAAGGUAAUGUGAUUGCAGAAUUCCGUUGAAUCAUCGAAUCUUGGAACGCACAUUGCGCCCCUGGUAUUCCGGGGGGCAUGCCUGUUCCGAGCGUCAUUACAACCCUCAAGCACG